GAUGAACGCUGGCGGCGUGCCUAAUACAUGCAAGUAGAACGCUGAAGGAAGGAGCUUGCUCUUUCCGGAUGAGUUGCGAACGGGUGAGUAACGCGUAGGUAACCUGCCUGGUAGCGGGGGAUAACUAUUGGAAACGAUAGCUAAUACCGCAUAACAGUAGAUGUUGCAUGAUAUCUACUUAAAAGGUGCAAUUGCACCACUACCAGAUGGACCUGCGUUGUAUUAGCUAGUUGGUGAGGUAACGGCUCACCAAGGCGACGAUACAUAGCCGACCUGAGAGGGGGAUCGGCCACACUGGGACUGAGACACGGCCCAGACUCCUACGGGAGGCAGCAGUAGGGAAUCUUCGGCAAGGGACGGAAGUCUGACCGAGCAACGCCGCGGGAGUGAAGAAGGUUGUCGGAUCGUAAAGCUCUGUUGUAAGAGAAGAACGAGUGUGAGAGUGGAAAGUUCACACUGUGACGGUAUCUUACCAGAAAGGGACGGCUAACUACGUG
rnacentral:rRNA from 1 species